rnacentral:rRNA from 1 species
AUGGGAACGCGAAGAACCUUACCUAGACUUGACAUCUCCUGAAUAGUGUAGAGAUACAUGAAGCCCUUCGGGGCAGGAAGACAGGUGGUGCAUGGUUGUCGUCAGCUCGUGUCGUGAGAUGUUGGGUUAAGUCCCGCAACGAGCGCAACCCUUAUUACUAGUUGCUAACAUUAAGUUGAGCACUCUAGUGAGACUGCCCGGGUUAACCGGGAGGAAGGUGGGGAUGACGUCAAAUCAUCAUGCCCCUUAUGUCUAGGGCUACACACGUGCUACAAUGGUGGGAACAAAGAGAUGCAAUACCGCAAGGUGGAGCUAAACUCAAAACCCCAUCCCAGUUCGGAUUGUAGGCUGAAACUCGCCUACAUGAAGCUGGAGUUGCUAGUAAUCGCGAAUCAGAAUGUCGCGGUGAAUACGUUCCCGGGUCUUGUACACACCG